AUCUGAUGUAGAAGAAGAUAGUAGAGAUGAAUAAUGCAGAUACAGCAGUGAUGAGCAGGAGAGAAGAAUGCAUGAACUUCACAAAAUUUUCUUAGCCAACUGACUUCUCAUUAAAAUUCUCAUGUGUAUACUUAUACCAGCUCCGGUGACCCGAUCUUCCACCUCCGAUGGUGAAAAAUGAGAAUGAUACUUGGAAUGUUUAUCCUAACCCGACACUUGUGUUUAUAGUUAAACGUGAUUUAAUUAUAUUGGGGACAAGAGUCAAUGGCUGUACUAUUCGAUAUAUUAUUGUGUGCCACUGUUUUGGUGUGUCUCUCUCUCUCUCUCUCUCCCCCCCCUUAGUUUUUGUUAAUUUUUUAACCAAAAAUUAAUAAUAGUGGUGUCAUUAUAGAGAUGUAUAAAGCUAAUUUUAUAUUCUUUUGAAUAGCUUCUAGAGUAUUUUUUGUCAAGUUGGCAUCAUAGCCAUGCUGUAUUCCAUUGAUAAGAUUGAGCAUAUCAUCAAAUUGAUGUCAUGUUUGAUGAAAGCAAUAUAUGCCAGAUGUUAAUUGCAAACUAACUUAACUUUAAGCCACUUUUCAACCAGCAGUUAAAUAGCAGGACAGUUUCCUGUCCACUAUGUAUCUUUGAUGGGAUCAAUUGGAAUGUUGAAGAAUGGGGCUCUGUAGGCUAGUUUUUGAGCCCUCUUGAAAAAAUUUGCUAAUUUGGGAUCCUGAAUUGAAUCCAGAUUUUCAUAGAUGGUAAGUGAUUGCUUUUACCAUAUGUUAUCUAGAAAAAUAGGAUUGAUAGGCUGGAUCCAGAUUUCUCUAAAUUCAUGUGAAUUCCAGAAUUGAACCUAACACUAUAGCUAAAUGACAAUUUGUCAGUUUGUAUAAAUGGAAGCUUUUAUAGCAUUUUUAUAUUGGCUGCCAGUUACUUUAUUAGGCUCUAAG
rnacentral:lncRNA from 1 species